rnacentral:misc_RNA from 1 species
UCUCCGUAGGUGAACCUGCGGAGGGAUCAUUACAGAGUUCUCGCCCUCGCGGGUAGAUCUCCCACCCACUGUUAUCGUUACUGUGUUGCUUUGGCGGGCCGCCGGGCCCCGCUCGGCCGCCGGCUCCGGCUGGCGCGCGCCCGCCAGAGGCCCAGCAAACUCUGAAUGUUAGUGUCGUCUGAGUACUAUAUAAUAGUUAAAACUUUCAACAACGGAUUUCUUGGUUCUG